rnacentral:lncRNA from 1 species
AAAAACGCGUUGAGGUGGUGGGAUAUGAUUUGGGACAGGACAGCUAAUGAAGGCCAAUUGGGAAACCCUCAAAACUAAAUAUGGACUGUCGUCUUUAUAUGAAAUAAAUACUAAUUGAAUACGCACCUGUAACUUCUUCUCGCCGGUGAAUACAAUACAAUUACUGCCGGUUCUCCUACGUCCACCACUUUCUCAGGGAAGCGAAGGGAAGAGAGAGAGAAUAUUCUAUGAGUUACCAGAGACCCCCUCAAGACCCAUACCACCAGUACCCUCCCCCAGGUAUACAUUCAUUUCUUCAAUUUCACUAAUUCUUGUCUUCUUUUCCUUUUGUUUUUCAGAUUUUGAUUUUGCUAUAUUUUUCUUAUAUUUUCAAUUUGACUGAUUGUUGACUUUCAAGAUCUAAACUUUAGCACUUCAAUUUUGUGGUGAUUGUUAAUUUUGAAGGGUAUGGGAGUCCUUCUACAUAUCCUCCACCACCAGGAUACCCAUCUGCGCCGCCGCCGCCGCCAUUCGAAGGGUAUCCGCAGCCACCACAACCGCCACCUGGGUACCCUUAUGCACCACCCCCAGGUCAAGGGUAUCAAGGGUAUUUCAGUGGAGGAGGGUAUCCUCCACCCCAGCAGCUUUAUCAUGUCCACCACUGUGAGCAUCACGAAUACAAUGAUCAGGGUGGUGGUUCCUCUUUUUUACAAGGCUGGUAUGUAUAUCUAUCUCCUCUUUAUGUGUAAAAACACACGCAUAUAUUAAUUUGUACCAAGGUUCUUUCAUUGGUAGAUAAAAUUGUUGUUUGUUUUAUGAUCUCUUUACUGGGAAUUGAUUUAGCUGAUGAUAAUUGGGCUCUGGUGAGCUCUGAAUUUCCGCCUUUUGUUUAUUUGGGAAUUUAGAACAUAACUAGAUAGUCUCCUAUGUAAAACUAUGAAUUGGAUUUGAUUGGUUCGUUGCUGCCUAGUCACUCUUGUUUUGUUUUCUAAGAACUUGGAUUUGCAGUAAACUAAGAACCUCUGUCAGUUCUUUGAAAUGGUGUUGGUCCAUUUACUUGGCUCGUCAAUAUUUAAUAAAUAGGUGCUUGAUUUAGUUGAGCUAACUAUUUGUAUCAACUAUCUAUACUAGUUACAUAAGCUCAGCCUUAAUCUAUAAUUACCUUUGCAAGAGCUGAAUUGUUCCUUUUCAGUUUCAGUUCGCUUUUCCAUUCUCCUAGCAUGUGACUAUAACUCUCGUAUACAUUUACUAAAUGUUGUCUUCAUGGUUGAAUAGGUUGGCUAUUCUUGUUUUUCUUUUUUGCAUUUCUUCCUUUCUGCCUUUUAGAGGAUUAGGAAAGCAUGCUUUAUGAGGUUGUCAAAUAAAAAGUUAUUGUUUCAUCUAGUUGGUGAAUAUAAAAAAUCAAUAUAUUCGAGAGUGUUUCUACUUUUGACUCUUCGGGUUAUAUAUCAAGAAUUCAAGAUAUAAGAGCUAUAUUGAUGCUUAGAGACCUAAAAGAUGAGAGACUAUCAAUUAUCUGUCAACAAUUUUAAGUAAAUGAAAAUUUCUUGAUUUCUACUUUCUCUUAGUUAACUGUAAAACCUGGAGGACCUGGACAUUUAUUGAUAUAUUUACUUAAGGAUCUUAUGGGAGUUGUUCUUUCAGAUAUAAAAUGAAAUCCAUAUGAAAAUGAAGAUUCAUUUUAUUAUUACAAUCACACACUAAUAUCUCUCUAUUUAUACAUGUAAACUGCUUACAUUAUAGGCUAAUUAUCAAACUAACUAUAUUACAAAAUUGUCAUAAACAUAACUAGCAUAAACUAAUGUACAUGAAUGUGAGCUAAAUCUUUGCCACUGUCAUGAAUUUGAUUGUGUUUUCUGAGAGCUUGUGAUGCUAUGCUGAGUUUGACUCAGAAUUGUAAGUUUCACUUGUCAUAUCUAUAACAUCCCCCUCAAGUUGGCAUUAUGAAACAAGUUACAAAUGCUCAACUUGGUAAAUAAUUGUUUAAGAUGUUGAGAAGCUAAGGACUUAGUAAGCAAAUCAGUCGGCUGCUCAAGAUUGGACACAUGAUGAGUAGAAAUAAAACCUUGCGUAAGCUUAUCCCGUACAAGGUGACAAUCUUUCUCAAUAUGUUUAGUGCGCUCAUGAAACACAAGAUUGGAAGCAAUAUGGAGAGCUGCCUUGUUGUCACAGUACAGAGGAAUAGGCAUAGAAACUGGGAUACCAAAAUCUUUUAAAAGAGCUGAAAUCCAUACUAGUUCACAACAUGUAUUGGCCAUGGAUCUAUAUUCUGAUUCAGCAGAGAACCUGUACAUAGUAUGUUGCUUUUUUACUUUUCCAUGAAAUUAAGGAAGAGCCAAGUAAGACACAAAAACCAGAUAUUGAUGGUCUACUAUCAGAACAAGAAUCUCAAUCUGCGUCAUAAUAUGCAGACGCUUGAAGACUAUUGUUGGCCGGAAAGAAUAAACCUUGUCCCAAACUGCCUUUAAGAUAUUUAACCAACUUCAAUGCAACUUCAAAAUGAGGGGUUCGAGGCUGAGCUAGAAACUGACUUCAAAUAUGAACACCAUAACUAAUGUCAGGUCUAGUUAUAGUAAGAUAUACUAGCCUGCCUACCAAUCUUUGGUAGCACUGCUGUCAGAAGCUGAGAGAAGAUCCCCUUUAUCUGAGGCAAGCUGAUGAUGUUGAUCCAUAGGAAUAACACUAGGUUUAGAACCUUGAAGACUAGUGUCCUGUAAGAUAUCAAGAACAUAUUUCAUUUGAUUAAUAUAUAUCAGUAUCAUUCCUUGCAAUCUCUAAACCCAAAAAAUAUUUCAAAGAGCCCAAGUCUUUAAUCUUAAACUGAGUGUUAAUAAAAGACUUGAUAGUAGUAAAAGUAGAAGAAUUGUUCCCUGUGAGAGGGCAGUAAAUGAGGAACCCUUGGUUAGAACAAACAGAGAAUGAUCAUGGGCAGUAAAUGAGGAACCCUUGGUUAGAACAAACAGAGAAUGAUCACGGGCAGUAAAUGAGGAACCCUUGGUUAGAACAAACAGAGAAUGAUCACUUUUUGAUUGAAUAAAUCCAUAACUGAGAAGCACACUUGAAAAUUUUGAAAACCAUUGUCUUGGAGCUUGUUUGAGCCCAUACAAUGAUUUUAUUAAUUUGCAAACCACGGGAGCAAAAGAAUUAUCUUGCAAUGGACAUUGAAAUCCAGGAGGUAAAUCCAUUUAGACAUCCUCUUGUAAAUCACCAUGAAGGAAAGGGAUAUAAACAUCUAUUUGAGACAAAUGCCACCUUUUAGUGGAUGCCAAUGCUAAAAGAAGUCUACCUGUGGUCAUUUUGGCUACGGGAGCAAAAUUUUCAAAAUAGUCUUGACCAUGUGUUUGCUUAAAGCCUUUUGCCACCAACCUAGCUUUGUACUUGUUGAUCGAACCAUUAGAAAGAAACUUGGUCUUAUAAAUCCAUUUGCAUCCAAGUGUGAUGUCCUUUAGGUAAGGAAGUCAAUAUCCAAGUCUUAUUGGACUCUUAAGGCAUGAAUUUCAUCUGUCAUGGCCUGUUGCCAGUAAGAAUGUUUCAUAGCUUGAGCAUAGGUUUUAGGUUCACAAUGAGAAGAUAUAGCAGUUAGAAAGAGAUGUUGUCUUGGGGUAAAGCGAGAAUAAGAGAUGUAAUGAGAUAAAGGAUAUGAAGGGGAAACUCGUGCGUUUCAAGAUACCUGUGCUGAAGUAGGAAGAGACUGAGUAAACAUGGAUGGUAAGGCUGUAUAAUCUUCAAACUUUGCAGGAAGUCUCUUAGAUCUAUGAGAAACAUAUUUAUUGAUAGAGGGAGAAGCAUGGGAUACAUCAGAUGAUGCAUCAUUUAAAGAAGAAGAGAUAUCAUUAGUAUCCAAUGAGGGUGACAAAGAUGAAUUAAGUGAAGAAUUUAUUUCUGAGAAUACAGGACAACCACUAGUAGAAUCAUCAAUUUGGAGAAUAAAAGGAUCAGUAUAAGGAGGAAAUAAAGAGCAACUAAUAGAAGAAGAGGAAGUGGUAGAAAUAUCUUGAAAAGGAAAUUGGGUUUCAUGAAAGACAACAUCCCUCCUAAUGAGAAAUUGCUGAGUAGAUAAACCAAAUACUUUGUAUCCUUUCUUGCCAAAUGGAUAACCCAGAUAAACACACUUAGAAGCCCUUGGAUCAAACUUAGUUCUGUUAUGGGCUAAAGUAGAAACAUAACACAAACAACCAUAAGCUCUGAGAUGAGUAUAAGGAGGAGAGCCCAUUAAAAUUUCAAUAGGAGUUUGGUAGUCUAAAAUAGCAAUAGGAAGCCUGUUGAUAAGGUACGUAGCAGUAAGAAGACUAUCACCCCAAAACUUAAUAGGCAAAGAUGCUUGAAAUUGUAAAGAUCUAGCAACCUCAAGAAGAUGUAUAUGCUUCCUUUCAACAACUUCAUUUUGUUGAGGAGUGUAGACACAACUCAUUUGAUGAAUAAUUCUCAGAUGAUCAAGUAAGGAAUUUAGAGUAUUCUUAAGAAAUUCCAUGCCAUUUUCAGUUCUAACAAUAUGAGCAUGACCUUGAAUUUGAGUUUUAACAGGAGGGAGAGAAGAUUUCAUGAAGUCAGAACUUGACUUUUAGAAUGUAACAUGUAAGUCCAUGUACAUCUAGAAAAAUCAUCAACCAAUGUGAGAAAAUAAGAACAACCAUCAUGAGUGGGGAUACUUAUAUGGUCCCCAAAGAUCACAAUGUAACAAUUUAGUGGCUUUGAUAACACUACGAGGAAAAACAGCUCGUGUUUGUUUAGCUAAAGGACAGACAUCACAAGUAAGAAUACAAUUGUUCUCAAAAUGAAGAGAGGAAAUUUUAUUUAGAACAUUAAGAGAUGGAUGACCAAGUCUAAAAUGGCACAAUUGUUUUGAUACAACUGAGUUUAUAAUGGAAGUAACAGUACUAGAAGAAAUAUGACUAAUUAACUGCAGAGCUUGAAUCUUGGAAACUAUACAAGCCGCCAUCCAGACUACCAGUCCCUUUCAAAGUCCUCAACAUAGGGUCCUGAAAAACACAUUGGUGAGGAGAAAAGAGAACACAACAAGCAUUAUUGAGUAGAGAACAUUAAAAAUGUAUAAAGGAAGUAACAGGUGUAGGAUUAACAAGGUUUGAGAAUUAAUUGGUAAUAUGGUUGAUGGCGGCAGAAUUAACAAUCCAUUGAUCAUUAAGAGUACAAACAGAUGAACAUAGAGGAUUAAUAAUGUGUAAGAUAGUGGAACAAAACUUGUUACUUGCAAGUUUAACGCCCGACAAUUUGUUUUCCUUGUCCAUCUUGAUAUAUUGCAGAACUUGUUUCAGUUGAGCCUCUGAUAGUGUUCCAUUAUAGUUGGAGGACUGUGUGUUUCUAGAUUCUGCAGAAGACUGUUGAGUAGAAGUUGUAUCAACGGAGUGUGCAAAAACAGAGGAUCAAUAGCAGGAGGAUUUCGAUCAUUACCGAUUACGAUAUUUGCAAAAGAUGUGUGUUGUUGAUUUGAUGACAUUGUUCCUCAAUUGGUUAAUUGAUUCAAUUUGUUCUUAGGAGAUCAAUACUUCGUGAAGCUUCAAAUCACCUCGAUGUAGAGAAAUGUGAUUUGCCGGUAGUUGUCGCAGAUGCGGAAUGAAGAAACCAAGAAAUUGAAUACAAUUUCAAUGAAUUUGAAUGAGAAAUGAUCAAAUUAUGACCAAAUUUGCAAGACGAAAACCCUCGAGUAAAGUCUAGGCUCUGAUACCAUGAUAUAAAAUGAAAUCCAUAUGAAAUUGAAGAUUCAUUUUAUUAUUACAAUCACACACCAAUACAGAGAUAGUUCUCUCUAUUUAUACAUGUAAACUGCUUUACAUUAUAAGCUAAUUAUCAAACUAACCAUAUUACAAAAUUGUCAUAAACAUAAUUAGCAUAAACUAAUGUACAUGACUGUGAGCUAAAGCUUUGCCACUUUCAUGAAUUUGAUUGUGUUUGCUGAGAGCUUGUGACGCUAUGCUGUUGUGAGUUUAGAAUUGUAGGCUUCACUUGUCAUGUCUACAGCACUUUCCUCUAUGUUCUGAACAGAACUAGGACUAUCUUGUUGCUUUUGAUCAGAUUCUGGACCAUAGUGUCAUAUUAGAGCUAUCCAUCUUUCACUACUAUGUAUAAGACACUUAAUUUGGUGUUGUUUUUAAGAGUGCAUCUAAAAGUAUUGAGGGAGCUUUCAGGAUUUUAUUGUCAAAAAAUAUAAAUUUAAGGUUUGUGACAGGACCAUGUUUGGGUCUCUAAUAUUAUUAUUGAUCAAUAUUGAGCUGAGGUUUGGAAUUUGCACCAAGACAUCUGUAUUUUACUCCUGUUAUUUCUCAGAUGUCUAAAGGGCAUCAUGCUGGUAGUAUGAUGCAAAUUGUCUUCUUUAAGCAGUUGUACAAGUCCCGUUUAAGGCACUUGUGUCAACAAGAACAACCACCUUGCCCAAUUUUUGUGCUGCAUUGCAUGUGAUUGGAUUUUGCUUUGUUUAUUAUUUACGUCAUUCAGUGAAGAGGAAUAAUGUUACACCCAUGUUAUGUGAUACUAAUGGGAUCUCUCCCACUGGUGAAAACUUGGCAUAUAUAUAUAUAUAUAUAUAUAUAUGUAUGUGUGUGUGUGUGUGUGUGUGUGUGUGUGUGUGUGUGUAUUUUUACUUGGUUUUGAAAUGUUUGACGAAUUAGAUUAAACAGCUUGCUCCUUUUUGUCUUGUGAAGGCAUGGUUUCUAACAUUGGUAAAUGCAGCAGCAUGACUUAUUUCAUGGCUAUCAAAUCGUAUAUACGAGUCUUAAAUGAACUUUUAAAUUACCAAAAUUCAUUUUAACUACACCACAUGGAGAGUUAAAAAAUCAUAUUUGUAUGUUGUUCCAAUGUCUUAAAACUGAGUGGCUUUCGUAGGAUUAGUGCCUUAAUACCUUUGUGAAUACAACUUAUUUAGUUACUUUAAUCUGCUGCAUAUGCUAGAAAUAUAUCUAUGAUUAAGCUUUUUGUGCGACUUUACAUGUGCAGUUUUGCUGCGCUUUGUUGCUGCUGUUUGUUGGAAGAAUGCUGCUGCUGCUUCUAAACUGCAAUGGAAGUUGCAACAUACAUACAUUCGGAACUCUGUAUAAUUUCUUUCUGGAUGUUGUGGAUAAAUAUAUAUAGUCUUCUUCAUAUCCUCCUUGGUGGCCCGGCCCCUCUUCUCUACAGUUUCAUUGUAAUGUGCAUAGCUGAUAGGGUUUGAUUUCGUCAACCAGUCACAUUGUUUUCUUCUUUUCUUGUAUGGAUUAUUGUGAAAAAUAUAUAUACUUAAAUCAGUAUUCAAGGUUAGUGCCAUAACACUCUUAGCAUGUUAGAUCAACACCCAAUAAUUAUUCUCUUAAAUAAACACCCUUACAUCAAGAUUCUCUUAAAGCAGUAGUUAAGAAACAAGUUUCUGCUUGUUAUUUUUUGAAAAUUAGAGGCAGUGCAAAUUUUUAUCAUCCAUAGAAUUAAUUAAUUAAUUUGAUAAUGAUAUAUAUUGCGAAUAUUUGUGGUAAAUUGAUGUUUUUGCAAGUUUCUCCUCAAAUGAAUAUUAAGUGGGUCUAACUUUUAUGCGAGAGAGACAUUGUGAAAAUAUUAUUUUUUUUCUUGUGCAAAUAGUAAUUUCCAAUUUUUUUAUUCAGGACUAAUG